rnacentral:lncRNA from 1 species
AGUUUUAUAGAUGAGUACACAGAAAAUCAGAGGUUUAACUAACAUGAUCAAGAUCUCCUAACCAGUUAAGUGGUGAAGUUGGAAUUUUUACCCAAGUCUGUUUGCUAAAUGUAUGCUCUUCAUCAUUACAUCUACAUAGGACCAGCUACAUAACUUGUAGUGCCCAGUGCAAAAUGAAAAUGCACCCUAGGCUGUGAUCCUGGAACUGAACAUCUGAUGAGUCAAUACAGGGCACGGAGUAGUGCUCUUCUCCCUGAACCAUGAGACCUGCAUCUCAGGUUGCAGAAAACAUGUGGAGCAGAGGUACAGAGCCUUCACUUUGCUGCAGCAACAAAUAAAGACUUUGAAGUCCUCCAUUGGAUCUUCUCGGAAGAUGAGGGAAAUGAGAGAGUGUGGAGAGAGAUUUUGUAAGUCCGGUCUGGAAGUGGUCAUUGUUCAGAAUCCAGCCACGUGGGUACAUGGAACUGUAAGAAUAUGUUCUGUGGACACUACAGAUGCAGAUUAAAUCACCUGCAAAGUGAAUCUGUCAGCCCUAACAAUAAGAAUAGCUCUUUUAUGAUGAGCAGGUGAGACCAGGUAAUUACCGAAGAAAGAGAGUGAUGUGUUCAUUGAAGUCUACUCAUGGAGGAAAGAAGGCUAUUUCAACAUGGGAAACUGAAAUCGGGCAUAUCCCUGCGGAAGAAGCUGUCUCUUAGCGAAGAAUAAAACUGUGGACUGACCCCCACCCAUUUGCGAAGAAAGUACUGGGUCUUCAGCUUUCAUUGUUCAGCCGGUGGUCUUUGUGGACAACACCAGGGGCCCCUCCUGCUGAAGACUGUCUGGACUUCCUGAUUUUCACUCCUGUAUAAACCCCCUCCCCCAUUACUACCUUUGUCUCCUUGGGGAAAAAAAAUGUUUUUCACUUAAGCAAAAUAAUAACUACCCAGUAUUUGUUUCU